rnacentral:rRNA from 1 species
AUUGAACGCUGGCGGAAUGCUUUACACAUGCAAGUCGAACGGCAGCACGGGUGCUUGCACCUGGUGGCGAGUGGCGAACGGGUGAGUAAUACAUCGGAACGUGCCCAGACGUGGGGGAUAACGUAGCGAAAGUUACGCUAAUACCGCAUACGUCCUGAGGGAGAAAGCAGGGGAUCGCAAGACCUUGCGCGUUUGGAGCGGCCGAUGGCAGAUUAGCUUGUUGGUGAGGUAAAGGCUCACCAAGGCGACGAUCUGUAGCGGGUCUGAGAG